rnacentral:rRNA from 1 species
AGUGAACGCUGGCGGUAGGCCUAACACAUGCAAGUCGAACGGCAGCACAGUAAGAGCUUGCUCUUACGGGUGGCGAGUGGCGGACGGGUGAGGAAUACAUCGGAAUCUACUUUUUCGUGGGGGAUAACGUAGGGAAACUUACGCUAAUACCGCAUACGACCUACGGGUGAAAGCAGGGGAUCUUCGGACCUUGCGCGAUUGAAUGAGCCGAUGUCGGAUUAGCUAGUUGGCGGGGUAAAGGCCCACCAAGGCGACGAUCCGUAGCUGGUCUGAGAGGAGGAUCGGCAAACUUGGACCUGAGCAAGGUCCCAGACCCCACCGGGAGCAAGCGGGGGGAAUUAUUGACAAAUGGGCGCAAGCUUGUCCCAGCCAAACCGCGUGGUUGAAGAAGGCUUUCGGUUGUUAAAGCCCUUUUGUUGGAAAAAAAAAGAAGAAGUUUAAUACCCCGCUUUCCUGACGGAACCAAAGGAAUAAGCACCGGCUACCUCCUU